rnacentral:tRNA from 1 species
CCAGCUUUGGGAGUUGGUGAUAGAGGUUUAAUCCUCUCUUUCUGA